rnacentral:tRNA from 1 species
GGGGCGUAGCUCAAUGGUAGAGCACCAGACUUUUAAUCUGUAGGUUCUGGGUUCGAGUCCCAGCGCC